AACGAACGCUGGCGGCAUGCCUAACACAUGCAAGUCGAACGAGACCUUCGGGUCUAGUGGCGCACGGGUGCGUAACGCGUGGGAAUCUGCCCUUGGGUUCGGAAUAACAGUUGGAAACGACUGCUAAUACCGGAUGAUGACGUAAGUCCAAAGAUUUAUCGCCCAAGGAUGAGCCCGCGUAGGAUUAGCUAGUUGGUGAGGUAAAGGCUCACCAAGGCGACGAUCCUUAGCUGGUCUGAGAGGAUGAUCAGCCACACUGGGACUGAGACACGGCCCAGACUCCUACGGGAGGCAGCAGUGGGGAAUAUUGGACAGUGGGCGAAAGCCUGAUCCAGCAAUGCCGCGUGAGUGAUGAAGGCCUUAGGGUUGUAAAGCUCUUUUACCCGGGAUGAUAAUGACAUUACCGGGAGAAUAAGCUCCGGCUAACUCCGUG
rnacentral:rRNA from 1 species